rnacentral:rRNA from 1 species
UUCCGUAGGGUGAACCCUGCGGAUGGGAUCAUUUCGAUGAAAAACCUUUUUUCAGAGGUGUGGCUCGCACCUGUCCAACUAAACUUGAGCUACCUUUUUUCAACACGGUUGCAUCGGUCGGCCUGUCAAACAGUGCGACGCAAGGAGAAAAUCCUCGCGUCUGCUGGGCGACGGACGGACAAUUUUAUUUAACACUUUUGGAUGAUCUAGGAUUUGAAGGAGAAAAAGUCAUUUUUACGAAUGAAAUCGACUGGUAAUGCGGUCGUCUAAUUUUAAAAACAACUUUUGGCAACGGAUCUCUUGGUUCUCCCAUCGAUGAAGAACGCAGCGAAUUGCGAUAAGUAAUGUGAAUUGCAGAAGUGAAUCAUCGAAUCUUUGAACGCACCUUGCGCUCCCGGCAGAUCUAAUCUGGGGAGCAUGCCUGUUUGAGGGCCGCGAAUUGUUUCGAACGACAGCUUUUUUCUUUUGGAAAAGGUUGACGGAUCGGUAUUGAGGGUUUUUGCCAUUUACCGUGGCUCCCUCGAAAUAGAUUAGCGCAUCCAUUUUAUAGGCAAGACGGACGAAAGCUCGAUUUUUGCUCUCUCUUCCCUGCCGGGUUUUGAUACUAUCAGGACUUCGGAGAGGUUGAGAUGGGUAGGAGCUGGACGCAACGGCUUGCUGUUUGGAGUGCUUCUGAAACCCGCCCAUGCCGAGUUUUUUAGGAAGCUAGGAAGGGAUUUAUAAUAAUCAUCGCCUCAGA